rnacentral:tRNA from 1 species
CAGGUCAUAGCUUAAGUAGAAAAGCCCCUCUCUUACACCGAGAAAAUAUCCGUGCAAAUCGGAUUGCCCUGA